rnacentral:rRNA from 1 species
UGGCCGUAAACGAUGUGGACUUGGUGUUGGAAUGGCUCCGAGCUGCUCCAGUGCCGAAGGGAAGCUGUUAAGUCCACCGCCUGGGAAGUACGGUCGCAAGACUGAAACGUUAAAGGAAUUGGCGGGGGAGCACCACAAGAGGUGGAGGCUGCGGUUCAAUUGGACUCAACGCCGGAAACUCAUCGGGAGCGACAGCAGUAUGAUUGCCAGGUUGAUGACCUUGCUUGACAAGCUGAGAGGAGGUGCAUGGCGUAGUCGUGU